rnacentral:lncRNA from 1 species
CCCAAAUUCCGUUCAAACAACACAAUGCCCACUAUUGAUUCCAGACAAAAAUCUCAAAAUCGCCACAAAAUCCACGGCUCAGGUUCCUUCGUAUGAAAAAGGUAGGACAAAAAAAUAAGUGCCAACCAGUGAAUCAUUCCACGGCGGCUUUAGUGUUUCCAAUUGAUAACUAUUUCUCUCUCUGUAGACUUUUUCUUAAUGCCUUAAUGGUAAGAGAAAUUGAUCUAAUCCUUCAUUUUCAUUUUCUUUUGAAAUAUUAUUAUUAGAUUCGAGUUUUGAUACAUUUCUCUAUUUAUUUAUUUUUUUGAAAAUUUAAAGGUCUCAAAUGAUUGUGAAUCUCUAUUAGUUUUUGCUAGUAAAAAUUGAGAAGGAAUGGCAAAAGUUUGAGAUGUAACUAAUGAUUCUGGCUUAUUUCAUUGGCUGAGAUAAUGACUAAUGAGGUUCUUUUCCCUUGCUAAUUUUGUUAUUUUUCAGUCAAUGUGAUAUCAGUUGGAAUUUCUGCUAUAUUUUUCCAUUGAUCAUGUAUAUGGUGGCUUAAGAUUUGAAUUUAAAAUUUUUUCAACACAAUUAUAAAUACUUCGGGAGGUUUGACAGUCAAUUUUGUUUUGCAGUGUGGUUACUUACUACAAUUGGUGAUAGGGAAUACUAAUUUGUUUUUACUUAGCCAUUGGUUACUACAGUAUGUUCAAUACUAAAUAAUGCCUGCUAAAUAGUAAUCAAGUGAUCAACUUUGCAUACCUGACAACAUAAAUGGUAUUAAAAAUUCUUGUGCUACAUUUUAUCUUUGUUUUAUAGCUAAGUGAUAUUUUGUACCCGUUUACUCUAAUUUUGGUAUGAUGUUAGGUUUAGGAAAUAAUGUCGAGGUAUGGAUCAAGAAAUUGAACAUAUCAAAAGAGACGAGUCCCAGGUCUCCAAGGCAACUAACUAGCUGCAAAGUACUGGGAGAAGCCAAUUAAGCACGUUAGCCCAAAAUGCAGCCUCCAUUUUAUCCAGCAGCCCCGUUGAAUUGUUGGUUAUUAGAUUGUAGCAAAGCAGUUCCUAUUUUCUGUAACUCUCUGUACAUAGCAAGGUUGUAAUUCUUUUGUAUUUAUCCUUGUUCAUAUCCUAACCAUCCCUUUUUAGCUCCAGUAUGAAAACUGUUGAGAAAAUGUAAAAUCUAUUAUGUAGAACAAGUAUUCUAGAAAGAAAUAAAAAAGAAGUCGUUUUAGUUUGGUUGGACAGUAGGUGCGAUGGGGCCUCAGUUUCAAGUCCAGUUGAUUUGUUGUCGUUAUGUAUUUAUUUCUACAACAAAUGAUUUUUUAGUAGAAUAAAAUUGCUGCUGAAUGCAAAUGUCAUGUUUUG